rnacentral:rRNA from 1 species
GACGAACGCUGGCGGCGUGCUUAACACAUGCAAGUCGAGCGGUAAGGCCCUUCGGGUACACGAGCGGCGAACGGGUGAGUAACACGUGGGUGACCUGCCCUUAGCUCUGGGAUAAGCCUGGGAAACUGGGUCUAAUACCGGAUAUGACCUCAUGACGCAUGUUGUGGGGUGGAAAGCCUUGUGCGGCUAGGGAUGGGCCCGCGGCCUAUCAGCUUGUUGGUGGGGUGAUGGCCACCAAGGCGACGACGGGUAGCCGGCCUGAGAGGGCGACCGGCCACACUGGGACUGAGACACGGCCCAGACUCCUACGGGAGGCAGCAGUGGGGAAUCUUGCGCAAUGGGCGAAAGCCUGACGCAGCGACGCCGCGUGAGGGAUGACGGCCUCGGUU